rnacentral:rRNA from 1 species
UACGUAGGGUGCGAGCGUUGUCCGGAGUUACUGGGCGUAAAGAGCUCGUAGGUGGUUUGUCGCGUUGUUCGUGAAAACUCACAGCUCAACUGUGGGCGUGCGGGCGAUACGGGCAGACUUGAGUACUGCAGGGGAGACUGGAAUUCCUGGUGUAGCGGUGGAAUGCGCAGAUAUCAGGAGGAACACCGGUGGCGAAGGCGGGUCUCUGGGCAGUAACUGACGCUGAGGAGCGAAAGCGUGGGGAGCGAACAGG